rnacentral:rRNA from 1 species
GAUGAACGCUGGCGGCGUGCCUAAUACAUGCAAGUCGAGCGAACGGACUAGAAGCUUGCUUCUCUGAUGUUAGCGGCGGACGAGUGAGUAACACGUGGAUAACCUCCCUAUCAGACUGGGAUAACUUCGGGAAACCGUAGCUAAUACCGGAUAAUCUUUUGCACCGCAUGGUUCAAAAGUGAAAGACGGUCUUGCUGUCACUUAUAGCUGGAUCCGCGCUGCAUUAGCUAGUUGGUAAGGUAACGGCUUACCAAGGCAACGAUGCAUAGCCGACCUGAGAGGGGGAUAGGCCACACGAGAACUGAGACACGGUCCAGGCUCCUACGAGAGGCAGCAGUAGGGAAUAGGCCGAAAUGGGCGAAAGCAUGACGGAGCAACGCCGCGUGAGUGAUGAAGGUCUUCGGAGCGUAAAACUCUGUUAUUAGGGAAGAACAUAUGUGUAAGUAACUGUGCACAGAUUGACGGUAACUAAUCAGAAAGCCACGGCUAACUACGUG